UACGAACGCUGGCGGCGUGCUUAACACAUGCAAGUCGAACGGAAAGGCCCUGCUUUUGUGGGGUGCUCGAGUGGCGAACGGGUGAGUAACACGUGAGUAACCUGCCCUUGACUUUGGGAUAACUUCAGGAAACUGGGGCUAAUACCGGAUAGGAGCUCCUGCUGCAUGGUGGGGGUUGGAAAGUUUCGGCGGUUGGGGAUGGACUCGCGGCUUAUCAGCUUGUUGGUGGGGUAGUGGCUUACCAAGGCUUUGACGGGUAGCCGGCCUGAGAGGGUGACCGGCCACAUUGGGACUGAGAUACGGCCCAGACUCCUACGGGAGGCAGCAGUGGGGAAUAUUGCACAAUGGGCGGAAGCCUGAUGCAGCAACGCCGCGUGCGGGAUGACGGCCUUCGGGUUGUAAACCGCUUUCGCCUGUGACGAAGCGUGAGUGACGGUAGUGGGUAAAGAAGCACCGGCUAACUACGUG
rnacentral:rRNA from 1 species